rnacentral:rRNA from 1 species
GACGAACGCUGGCGGCGUGCUUAACACAUGCAAGUCGAACGGAAAGGCCCUGCUUUUGUGGGGUGCUCGAGUGGCGAACGGGUGAGUAACACGUGAGUAACCUGCCCUUGACUUUGGGAUAACUUCAGGAAACUGGGGCUAAUACCGGAUAGGAGCUCCUGCUGCAUGGUGGGGGUUGGAAAGUUUCGGCGGUUGGGGAUGGACUCGCGGCUUAUCAGCUUGUUGGUGGGGUAGUGGCUUACCAAGGCUUUGACGGGUAGCCGGCCUGAGAGGGUGACCGGCCACAUUGGGACUGAGGUACGGCCCAGACUCCUACGGGAGGCAGCAGUGGGGAAUAUUGCACAAUGGGCGGAAGCCUGAUGCAGCAACGCCGCGUGCGGGAUGACGGUCUUCGGGUUGUAAACCGCUUUCGCCUGUGACGAAGCGUGAGUGACGGUAAUGGGUAAAGAAGCACCGGCUAACUACGUG